GUGCCCACUUUGGCAGCACAUAUACUAAAAUUAGAAUGAUACUGAGAUUAUCAUGGCCCCUGUGCAAGCAUUACACAAAUUUGUUAAGCAUUCCAUAUUAAA
ensembl:snRNA U6 U6 spliceosomal RNA